rnacentral:rRNA from 1 species
AUUGAACGCUGGCGGCAGGCUUAACACAUGCAAGUCGAGCGGGGGGAGGUAGCUUGCUACCUAACCUAGCGGCGGACGGGUGAGUAAUGCUUAGGAAUCUGCCUAUUAGUGGGGGACAACAUUUCGAAAGGGAUGCUAAUACCGCAUACGCCCUAAGGGGGAAAGCAGGGGAUCUUCGGACCUUGCGCUAAUAGAUGAGCCUAAGGCGGAUUAGCUAGUUGGUGGGGUAAAGGCCUACCAAGGCGACGAUCUGUAGCGGGUCUGAGAGGAUGAUCCGCCACACUGGGACUGAGACACGGCCCAGACUCCUACGGGAGGCAGCAGUGGGGAAUAUUGGACAAUGGGGGGACCCUGAUCCAGCCAUGCCGCGUGUGUGAAGAAGGCCUUUUGGUUGUAAAGCACUUUAAGCGAGGAGGAGGCUACCGAGAUUAAUACUCUUGGAUAGUGGACGUUACUCGCAGAAUAAGCACCGGCUAACUCUGUGCCAGCAGCAGCCGCAGUAA